GCAUAUACUGAACGCCAGUAGUCUAACACGUUACCUCAUUUGAACUACACACUAGGCCUGUCAUCGUUGAAUGGCAAUGAGAAAGAUAGAUGUUUAGAUCGUAUGUGAUUUGGCGGGUAAAGGUGCCGAAUUCUUAUUUGCACGUUAAUUUAAGUAACUCGAAUUGAACUUUAUUUGCCUAAUUCAACGUGAAAUAACCUAAUAACCAUGUGGUAUAGCGCAGAUUAUUACACGGCCAGGACACUGAAUGUUUUAAAGCUGCACAACACCCACUAGUGCUGCUGAGAACACUGUGUCGGAAUACUUGCCCUUGCCCUCCCAAACAACAG